rnacentral:rRNA from 1 species
AUGGACCUUGGGCGCCUAAACUAUGGGGUCAUCACUCUCAUCCCCAAAGUUUCGGGUGCUUCUGACAUCCACUAGUUCCGGCCUAUCACUGUGAUCAAUGUGAUAUUCCGGAUCUUGGCCAAAGGGUACGCCAAUAGGGUGACUCUUCUAGCUGACACCAUCACUCACCCCAACCAAUCCGCCUUCAUACAGGGGCGGUUUAUUCUGGAUGGGGUUUUGGUUUUCCACGAGGUCCUCCAUGAAGUCCGGUCCAAACAACAUCGAGCGGUCUUCCUGAAGCUUGACUUUCAUAAAGCCUAUGAUACGGUUCACUGGCCCUUCCUUCGAGAAGUCUUGCUUCGUAAGGGCUUCGAUGACUGCUGGCUGACCAGAGGUAUGUAG